rnacentral:RNase_P_RNA from 1 species
GAAGCCCGCCAGACCACCGCUGGUGCAAGCGCCGGAAGGCCGCACUGGAGGAAAGUCCGGACUGCAUCGGGCAGCGUAGCAGCUAACGGCUGCCCACCGACAAGCCCCGUGCGCAAGUGCGGGGCCCUAAGGUGAGGAUCAGAGCAACAGAGACGAGUCGAUCUGGACAACCCAUGGGGUGUUCUAUGCGUGCAGCGCGGCGCAAGCCGUGCCCCGGGCAACCGGGAGCGCAUAGCCGCCCGAAAUGGGCUCUGCCCAUUUCGGGUGAAACGGGCAAUCUCUACGCGCAGCAACACCAAGUAGGCACACGUUGACGGGGCCCCCGGAGUGUGCGGGUAGGUGGCAUCGAGCCGUCCAGGUGACUGGCGGCCCAGAUUAAUGGUGGUCACAUGCGGGGAAACCCGCAUGCACAGAAUCCGGCUUAUCGGUGGGCUUCACAC